rnacentral:rRNA from 1 species
UACGUAGGGAGCAAGCGUUGUCCGGAAUCAUUGGGCGUAAGCGCGCGUAGGCGGCCCUGUAAGUCCGUUGUGAAAGCAAAGGCUCAACCUUUGAAAGCCGAUGGAUACUGCAGGGCUAGAGUCCGGAAGAGGCGAGUGGAAUUCCUGGUGUAGCGGUGGAAUGCGCAGAUAUCAGGAGGAACACCAAUAGCGAAGGCAGCUCGCUGGGACGGUAGCUGACGCUAAGGGCGCGAAAGCGUGGGGAGCGAACAGGAUUAGGAA